rnacentral:rRNA from 1 species
AUGGGCGAAAGCCUGACGGAGCGACGCCGCGUGAGCGAAGAAGGCCUUCGGGUCGUAAAGCUCUGUUGUGAGGGACGAAGGAGCGCCGUUCGAAGAGGGCGGCGCGGUGACGGUACCUCACGAGAAAGCCCCGGCUAACUACGUGCCAGCAGCCGCGGUAAUACGUAGGGGGCGAGCGUUGUCCGGAAUUAUUGGGCGUAAAGCGCGCGCAGGCGGUCUCUUAAGUCUGAUGUGAAAGCCCACGGCUCAACCGUGGAGGGUCAUUGGAAACUGGGGGACUUGAGGGCAGGAGAGGAGAGCGGAAUUCCACGUGUAGCGGUGAAAUGCGUAGAGAUGUGGAGGAACACCAGUGGCGAAGGCGGCUCUCUGGCCUGCACCUGACGCUGAGGCGCGAAAGCGUGGGGAGCAAACAGGAUUAGAUACCCUGGUAGUCCACGCCGUAAACGAUGAGUGCUAAGUGUUAGAGGGGUCACACCCUUUAGUGCUGCAGCUAACGCGAUAAGCACUCCGCCUGGGGAGUACGGCCGCAAGGCUGAAACUCAAAGGAAUUGACGG